GCACCACAACAGGUGGAGCCUGCGGUUUAAUCGGACUCAACGCCGGGAAACUCACCUGAUAGACAGCUGAAUGAUAGUCGGGCUGAAGACUCUACUUGACUAGCUGAGAGGAGGUGCAUGGCCGUCGUCAGUUCGUACUGUGAAGCAUCCUGUUAAGUCAGGCAACGAGCGAGACCCACGCCAACAGUUGCCAGCUCGUCCUCCGGGAUGGUGGGGACACUGUUGGGACCGCCUCUGCUAAAGAGGAGGAAGGAAUGGGCAACGGUAGGUCAGCAUGCCCCGAAUUAUCUGGGCUACACGCGGGCUACAAUGGGUGGGACAAUGGGUAUCGACACCGAAAGGUGAAGGCAAUCUCCUAAACCCAUCCGUAGUUCGGAUUGUGGGCUGCAACUCGCCCACAUGAAGCUGGAAUCUGUAGUAAUCGUGUCUCAAAAUGGCACGGUGAAUAUGUCCCUGCUCCUU
rnacentral:rRNA from 1 species